CCUUGUGGAGGAGGACGCCGAAGGUGGGGCUAAUGACUGGGGUGAAGUCGUAACAAGGUAGCCGUACCGGAAGGUGCGGCUGGAUCACCUCCUAACAGGGAGACAACAAAAUGUUAAAUAUUAAUUUUGUCACCUUAGGUCGAUCGGUAUCUCACAUUCUUAAUUGAUUUAAGAAUUUUAUUUCCUAAGUUUUUCUAGGUCACACCCAUCAUUUUUCCUGGGCCAUUAGCUCAGGUGGUUAGAGCGCACCCCUGAUAAGGGUGAGGUCCCUGGUUCAAGUCCAGGAUGGCCCAUAUCUCUAUGUUGGGGGUAUAGCUCAGUUGGUAGAGCGCCUGCUUUGCAAGCAGGAUGUCAGCGGUUCGAGUCCGCUUACCUCCACUGAUUACCACCUCUUCCAUGGUUUAUAAAAGGGAAAUUUUGAGUUGUGAUCAAAUUCUGAACGAAUCUAGCUUCCUAAUUAAACUUAUUAAGAUGCUGGACUCAUUGAAUUAUUUUCAUUGUUUUCAGAGAACCUUGACAACUGCAUAGAUUAUUUUUAAAGACAAUAAGCAUUUUAAUGAUGCAGAUUUAUUAUUUGUGCUAAUGCAUUAAUAACAAUUCUAUUAAGCUGAUGCUUCUAUUUUUGAAGUUAUUGGUCAAGCUACAAAGGGCUCACGGAGGAUACCUAGGCACAC
rnacentral:misc_RNA from 1 species